AUGAACGCUAGCUACAGGCUUAACACAUGCAAGUCGAGGGGCAGCGGGAUUGAAGCUUGCUUCAAUUGCCGGCGACCGGCGCACGGGUGAGUAACGCGUAUCCAACCUUCCGUACACUCAGGGAUAGCCUUUCGAAAGAAAGAUUAAUACCUGAUGGUAUGAUGAGAUUGCAUGAUAGCAUCAUUAAAGAUUUAUCGGUGUACGAUGGGGAUGCGUUCCAUUAGGUAGUAGGCGGGGUAACGGCCCACCUAGCCUACGAUGGAUAGGGGUUCUGAGAGGAAGGUCCCCCACAUUGGAACUGAGACACGGUCCAAACUCCUACGGGAGGCAGCAGUGAGGAAUAUUGGUCAAUGGGCGCGAGCCUGAACCAGCCAAGUAGCGUGAAGGAUGAAGGCUCUAUGGGUCGUAAACUUCUUUUAUAUGGGAAUAAAGUUUUCCACGUGUGGAAUUUUGUAUGUACCAUAUGAAUAAGGAUCGGCUAACUCCGUG
rnacentral:rRNA from 1 species